UGGGAAGAGGUCAUUCCUUCCACGGGAGAGCGUCCACUCGCCUAGGCCAGAGGAAGACUUGGCGGCCUAGAGGAAGCUCUAGGGAGCCCCGGAAGCCCGAGACAUAGCUUUCCUUCCAGGCCCCUGCCCGCAGGCACAUUUUUGAGUGUUGGGAAAUUGAGGCUCAGAGACGUGAGGGACUUGCCAGGAUCCACCCAGCAGCAGGGACAGAUCGUGAAUGACCGUGCAGGUGGCCAGAGUGCUGCCAGGGGCUAGAGCCAAAUGUUUUCCGUGAGAAAAUUGAGACCAAGAGAGAGGAAGGCCCACCGACCC